UAUCUUCUCUGAAACUUUUAUACUUCUAUGAUUUCUUUGUGAUUUCAUGAGAAAAUAUUUUUGUGAUGAACUCUUGUGAGAGUUCUGGGUUAUUGUCAGAAGAUCUUGUACUUUGAGAGAGUUAGAACUAAGUGUUCUGUAAUGAAACUUUUGCCUAUUUUGUGGCGAUUUAUAGUGGAUUCGAGCUUAAUCCUAACGGAUGUUCAACAGGGAUUAGGCGUUGGAAGCGGUCGUCGAACCUUGGGGCUUUUGGGUCGAAAAAUCUUGUGUUCUGAUCUUGUUAUUUUUUUUAUUUUAACUAUGUUUGAUUUAUGAGUUAAAAGGCACAAACAUAUUAUUUGGGACCCGUAAUACAAUUCUGAAAAUCUUGGAAUGUUGGAAAAUCAACUCGGUAAGGUAAAAAAUCAGGUUUGGGAAAUACUUCUCCGAAUCCAAACAUGUUCCGAUGAUCUUAUACUUGUGCCUGGGUUAGAAGCACCCCAGGUUUUCUAGAGUUUGUCUUUAGCUAUCCUUAGAAUGGAUCUGAUGAGCCUACAUAAGUUAACACUCAGUCACUUGUAACUGCCAGUACCAAUCAAGAAACACCAAAUGAAUAGGGCGGUAACUCAACGUCCUUAGUGAUAUUGGAGAUACUCAGGCUACAAAUCAUGUUCCAUCCCCGCAAGUGAGGUGGUGCUGGCAAAACAUCUGGGACUAAGCGGGCCAAGAAACAAUGGUGUCUAGUUUUGUCUUUCUAACUUCCGACCUACUUGAUCUAACUAUUUGAUGGGUUGUAUAACUUGAUCUAACUAUUUGACAUAUACGUUUGUUGGAUUAUAUAUGUUUGUUUGCUCCCCCAACCUUUUUGGAUGAGUUUGAUAGGUCAAAUAAUUAAAAGAAAGAAAAAUUAUUUAUGUUUGACGAAACUGCAUCAGCAAGGCUUGAAGUUUUUUGUCCAUCUCCAAUUAGUUCUGACCAGUAGAUAUUCUAGUGAAGUAUCUUAAAGCAAACCUUUUACUUCAACCAUAGUUGAAGAUAACACACUUUUGCAUGAAUGAUAUAAUCAUACUCGAAGAUCAGG
rnacentral:lncRNA from 1 species